GCCAGCCGGGCGGUCUGGGAGCCUGGCCGGCCCUCCCAUGCCCGGUGCCCGUCCUGCCUUACCUGAGUCCCCCGGGCCUGCCCUCCGGCUCAGAGCCCCUCCCUCCUUCGCAGGGCAGCCCGUAAGUGGCUCGGCUGGGCGGGCGGCUCGGCUCGGGCUCGGGCUCCGGCUGCGUGCGCUCUGCCAGGCUCCGCGCUUCUCGGCAGCGAGCGAGUGAGGAGCGGUUCGGGCUGAGCACUAGGUAUAUAUUGUCUGGGAGUGUGGCCUUAGGGCCUCCGCAGGGCGGUCUGGUGCCGUGCCUGCCCCUAUAUGGAAGAUGCCAUCACAUGCUUCUCCGCUCCCAGCCAGGGGCCGGGUGGCAACACGGGGGGAGGGAAGCGCACCAACUUCAGAACCGGGCGAGGAAGCCCCCCGCCCGCCAAACCCCGCCGGACUCGCACCUGCCCCGCGCUCAAACUUCUCCUCCCGCCACCGUUGCAGCUUCUUGUGUGUCUCUGGCUCCUGGCUGCCCCUUUCAUGUGGUGCUGGAGCAAGAGAUUCGCUUGAUGCCUCCUUCCCACGCAGCAGCAGCCGGAGAAUUGGGGCGCGGAGGGUUAACGAAGAGCCUGGCAAGCAUCGGAGCUCGAGACUCAGUGCCUUCUAGGGCCCCCAGCCCCUCCUCCCCUCCCCCAAUUUUCCUCGUCAGCCUGAUUCCUCUAACCUGGCCUCCAAGUGCCCGUGGGAGCCGAAUUAUGCCCAGAGACCCGGCUAGUCCUCGUGUCCACCUCUCGGGAAUUUAUGGCCUGGUCGAGGGCACAUGGAAAGCAGAACUGAAGCAUUGAACCCAGUCAGGAGAUGAGGAAACUGAAGCAGACAGCAGUUAAGGACCUUGCUCACACAGCCAAUAAGUAGGUCUCUCGAGGUUCCUGCCCCAGGCCAGUCGAGGGGCAGGCGGAGGCCGGCCUUCUGACUCCUUCCCCCGGCACUCCCCCCCACCCCCCCCAGCCCAAGUCCCGCUCUCCGGGCCCGCCGGUAACUGAAGCCGGCACAGAUC